AAUCAAUUGGCUUAUAAUUGAAGUCUGGAAUGAAAGGGAAAUUGGGGUUAGACUGUCUUAUGUAUAAUACCUAGAAAUUACUAAAUAGGUGAAAAUUCCUAUAAGGGGAAAAAAGACGAGAAGACCCUAGAAAUUUUUAAUAAUAAACCACUUUAUUUUUGUUGGGGCGACAGGGUAACAGAAAACUUACCCUACUAUAUAGGCAGUUUAUAAACUGUGCAAUCAAAUUACUCUAGGGAUAACAGCAUAAUAUUUUAAAGAUUGUGACCUCGAUGUUGGACUAGGGAGUAUAAUACUUAAAAGGUAUUAUAGUUGGCU
rnacentral:rRNA from 1 species